ACGAACGCUGGCGGCAUGCCUAACACCUGCCAGUCGAACGCGACCUUCGGGUCUAGUGGCGCACGGGUGCGUAACGCGUGGGAACCUGCCCUUAGGUUCGGAAUAACUCCCCGAAAGGGGUGCUAAUACCGGAUAAUGUCUUCGGACCAAAGAUUUAUCGCCUUUGGAUGGGCCCGCGUUGGAUUAGCUAGUUGGUAGGGUAAGAGCCUACCAAGGCGACGAUCCAUAGCUGGUCUGAGAGGAUGAUCAGCCACACUGGGACUGAGACACGGCCCAGACUCCUACGGGAGGCAGCAGUGGGGAAUAUUGGACAAUGGGCGAAAGCCUGAUCCAGCAAUGCCGCGUGAGUGAUGAAGGCCUUAGGGUUGUAAAGCUCUUUUACCCGGGAUGAUAAUGACAGUACCGGGAGAAUAAGCUCCGGCUAACUCCGUG
rnacentral:rRNA from 1 species